rnacentral:rRNA from 1 species
ACCUACGGGGGGCAGCAGUGAGGAAUAUUGGUCAAUGGGCGGUAGCCUGAACCAGCCAAGUAGCGUGAAGGAUGAAGGUUCUAUGGAUUGUAAACUUCUUUUAUAAAGGAAUAAAGUGAGGCACGUGUGCCUUUUUGUAUGUACUUUAUGAAUAAGGAUCGGCUAACUCCGUGCCAGCAGCCGCGGUAAUACGGAGGAUGCGAGCGUUAUCCGGAUUUAUUGGGUUUAAAGGGUGCGUAGGCGGAUUUUUAAGUCAGCGGUAAAAUGUCCGGGCUCAACCCGGGCCGGCCGUUGAAACUGGGGAU